rnacentral:rRNA from 1 species
AGAUGUAACGGGGCUAAACCAUGCACCGAAGCUGCGGCAGCGACGCUGAUGCGUUGUUGGGUAGGGGAGCGUUCUGUAAGCCUGUGAAGGUGUGCUGUGAGGCAUGCUGGAGGUAUCAGAAGUGCGAAUGCUGACAUAAGUAACGAUAAAGCGGGUGAAAAGCCCGCUCGCCGGAAGACCAAGGGUUCCUGUCCAACGUUAAUCGGGGCAGGGUGAGUCGACCCCUAAGGCGAGGCCGAAAGGCGUAGUCGAUGGGAAACAGGUUAAUAUUCCUGUACUUGGUGUUACUGCGAAGGGGGGACGGAGAAGGCUAUGUUGGCCGGGCGACGGUUGUCCCGGUUUAAGCGUGUAGGCUGGUUUUCCAGGCAAAUCCGGAAAAUCAAGGCUGAGGCGUGAUGACGAGGCACUACGGUGCUGAAGCAACAAAUGCCCUGCUUCCAGGAAAAGCCUCUAAGCAUCAGGUAACAUCAAAUCGUACCCCAAACCGACACAGGUGGUCAGGUAGAGAAUACCAAGGCGCUUGAGAGAACUCGGGUGAAGGAACUAGGCAAAAUGGUGCCGUAACUUCGGGAGAAGGCAC